CAGCUCGUGUCGUGAGAUGUUGGUUAAGUCCCGCAACGAGCGCAACCCCUACGUUUAGUUGCUAACGCGUGAAGGCGAGCACUCUAGACGAACUGCCGUUGACAAACGGAGGAAGGUGGGGAUGACGUCAAAUCAUCAUGCCCCUUAUGUUCUGGGCUACACACGUGCUACAAUGGCCGGUACAGACGGACGCAAAGCCGCGAGGUGGAGCAAAUCCUAAAAAGCCGGUCUCAGUUCGGAUUGCAGGCUGCAAUUCGCCUGCAUGAAGUUGGAAUCGCUAGUAAUCGUAGAUCAGAACGCUACGGUGAAUACGUUCUCGGGGUUU
rnacentral:rRNA from 1 species